CCUUGAGUAGGGGGAGGGAAGUGCAGCAGAGACAAGUUCCUAAGUGCAAGUGUCUUGAGACAGGAAGAGGCUCCCUGAAGAACUGAAGGAAGUCCUUUCCUUGUGGCUGGCACAGAGAUGCAGAGUGGCCUGGAAUUCUCUGGGGAAAAGAAACCCAAGCAGAGGUAUUGUUUCUAUGGUUCAGAGUCAUCCGGUUUUACCGACGACUAGCAGCCUGCCCCAACUGGCUAAAUACAUGCCAACAACGGACUGCUGAGACAGCACUGUGUGGUCUGCUGCCAAAACCCGCCUGAAAAUCACUGGUAUAGGGGAAUGAUGGGCUAUUGAAGAAUUCUAAGCAGAAAAAGUACAUGCCAGGACAAGGACAGGAUAAGGCCAGACGUCCUCAGCCUCUCCAAGGACUUUUUGUUUGGACGAACGGAGGCAAGAUGGUGCACUUCCGGGUUCUUCUUCACCACCAACUCUUCCCGCGCGCGAAAAUGCAGCCGGCGCCUGGG
rnacentral:lncRNA from 1 species